rnacentral:rRNA from 1 species
UACGUAGGGGACAAGCGUUAUCCGGAAUUACUGGGCGUAAAGGGUGCGUAGGUGGUUUCUUAAGUCAGAGGUGAAAGGCUACGGCUCAACCGUAGUAAGCCUUUGAAACUGAGAAACUUGAGUGCAGGAGAGGAGAGUAGAAUUCCUAGUGUAGCGGUGAAAUGCGUAGAUAUUAGGAGGAAUACCAGUUGCGAAGGCGGCUCUCUGGACUGUAACUGACACUGAGGCACGAAAGCGUGGGGAGCAAACAGGAUUAGAUACCCCGGUAGUCCCUGAGCGGG